rnacentral:rRNA from 1 species
UACGAAGGGGGCUAGCGUUGCUCGGAAUCACUGGGCGUAAAGCGCACGUAGGCGGAUUGCUAAGUCAGGGGUGAAAUCCUGAGAUCAACUCCAGAACUGCCUUUGAUACUGGCGACCUUGAGUCCGGGAGAGGUGAGUGGAACUGCGAGUGUAGAGGUGAAAUUCGUAGAUAUUCGCAAGAACACCAGUGGCGAAGGCGGCUCACUGGCCCGGUACUGACGCUGAGGUGCGAAAGCGUGGGGAGCGAACAGG